UCGGGAAUAUUGCGCAAUGGAGGAAACUCUGACGCAGUGACGCCGCGUGCAGGAAGAAGGUUUUCGGAUUGUAAACUGCUUUAGACAGGGAAGAAACAAGACAGUACCUGUAGAAUAAGCUCCGGCUAACUACGCGCCAGCAGCCGCGGUAAUACGUAGGGAGCAAGCGUUAUCCGGAUUUAUUGGGUGUAAAGGGUGCGUAGACGGGAAGGCAAGUUGGUUGUGAAAUCCCUCGGCUUAACUGAGGAACUGCAACCAAAACUAUCUUUCUUGAGUGCUGGAGAGGAAGGUGGAAUUCCUAGUGUAGCGGUGAAAUGCGUAGAUAUUAGGAGGAACACCAGUGGCGAAGGCGACUUUCUGGACAGUAACUGACGUUGAGGCACGAAAGUGUGGGGAGCAAACAGGAUUAGAUACC
rnacentral:rRNA from 1 species